AGAGAGGGCAAACUUAAGAUUCUUACAAGAUGGCGAUAGCCAGCUUUGAGCGCCUCGAAAACACCAGCGCCGACUUCACCGGGACCGGCCUGCCAGGUUCCAUAGCCCAGCAGACUGCAAUUUUGGAGAGAGGGCAAAGAACAACCCAUUUAGUCUAAAAUGCCCCCCAUCCAGGUAUUUUAUCGAAUACUCACGGAAUCUGAUAGCAGGUGUUAAGGGUCGCUUUCCUGCCUAGAGACAUUGUGGCGAAUUGGGACCAGGUCGAUAGGGACUGAAUGACAGAAAAUCGAUGACCGAAGGACGAAGAAGCGAAAAUGAAACGUGAGGCGUGAGGCGUGAGACGUGUUAUUGAAAUCGAGUUUUAGCAAGGGAAUCAGGCGUUAACCUUUAGAUAUAUGAAAAUUCUCUGCUGGUCCAUCUCAAAUUCCCCUCUUGCCGGUUGAACUCAACGUCUGUCAUUACCAUUCCCCACGCAUCAGUGGAACGCCUCCUGAGAUGAUGUCAUGGCUCCGCCGUCGGUUCCAUUGAUCUUUAUUUAUUUCCCCCCCUCUCUCGGAUGAAUGAAUGUCUUACUGGCAAGAAGCAUUGUAGGUUUGUAUCUAGAAGCCAUUGUCAGUAGUGCAGAUGGCCUCAAAAGAACAGAAGUAGUAAACCCACUUACAUUCGAAUAUGA
rnacentral:sRNA from 2 species